rnacentral:rRNA from 1 species
ACCUGGCUCAGGAUGAACGCUAGCGGCAGGCUUAACACAUGCAAGUCGAGGGGUAUAGUUCUUCGGAGCUAGAGACCGGCGCACGGGUGCGUAACGCGUAUGCAAUCUACCUUUUACAGAGGGAUAGCCCAGAGAAAUUUGGAUUAAUACCUCAUAGUAUGUGAGAAUCGCAUGGUUUUCACAUUAAAGUCACAACGGUAAAAGAUGAGCAUGCGUCCCAUUAGCUUGUUGGUAAGGUAACGGCUUACCAAGGCAACGAUGGGUAGGGGUCCUGAGAGGGAGAUCCCCCACACUGGUACUGAGACACGGACCAGACUCCUACGGGAGGCAGCAGUGAGGAAUAUUGGACAAUGGGCGCAAGCCUGAU